GUGCUUGCUUUGGCAAUACAUAUACUAAAGUUGGAACAAUACAGAUAUUAGCAUGGCCCUUGUGCAAGGAUGACAUGCAUAUUUUUGAAGUGUUCUGUAUUUUG
ensembl:snRNA U6 U6 spliceosomal RNA